UGUACUUGCCGUAUGAUGGCGCUGAGUUAUUUUAUGUAGGUUAUGGGAAGGUGCGGAGUAAUACGUUGUGAUAUAAUUAAGACAAUUUUAAUUGUGUGGAAAGAUGAUUGAAAAUGACGCAACGUGAAUUAUAAGACAAAACCGUCUGAAUGGCAUUCUGUAGUGAAGCAGUGUGUAACAUAAUAAGAAAGUUGAACUCAUAAUAUCAGUAAUGGUUUUUCGUACAGUGGCUCCACGAAUGAGGUUUAUUAUCAUAAUAUUGUGUUUUGUUAUAUUUAUUUUUUACUUCGAAAUGCGUAUUAUGAAAAUUGAAGACGGCAAACGUAAGCUUGAAUUGGCAGUUGCACGAAUACAGCUGCGUGAAGUAGAUCAGCGAAGGGGUUCCAGCUAUUUGCCAAACAUAAAUACCCGGGAUCUUGUAGUGAUCUACAAUCGAGUACCAAAGACUGGGUCAACAAGUUUUGUGGGUGUUGCUUAUGACUUGUGUAAACAAAAUGGAUUUCAUGUGCUUCACAUCAACAUCACAGGAAACAUGCAUGCCUUGUCUCUUAAAAACCAGUUUCAGUUUGUAUGGAAUGUAUCUCACUGGAAUGCAAUGAAGCCGGCACUAUAUCAUGGACAUCUGGCUUUUGUUGAUUUUGCUCAGUUUGGAGUGAGUCAACGCCCCCUGUACAUUAACUUGAUUCGAAAACCACUGGACAGGCUUGUCUCUUACUACUACUUCCUUCGCCAUGGAGACAACUUUAGACCACAUCUGAUUAGAAGAAAACAUGGUAAUAAGAUGUCAUUUGAUGAAUGUGUGAAGUUACGUCAAGCUGACUGUGAUCCGGAGAACAUGUGGCUCCAGAUACCAUUCUUCUGUGGUCAUGCUGCUGAAUGUUGGAUUCCGGGGAAUGAGUGGGCUCUUGCAGAAGCAAAGAAGAAUCUGGUUAAUCACUACUUUCUGGUAGGAGUUACUGAAGAGCUUGGUGACUUUAUCAAGCUGCUUGAAGUGGCUUUACCUAGUUUCUUUCAUGGAGCAUCAUUACACUAUGAGACAAGUAAUAGGUCACACUUGCGUCGUACAUCACAGAAAGUUGAUCCUUUGCCAGAAACUGUAGCCCAGAUCCAGAAGUCUCAUGUUUGGAAAAUGGAAAAUGAACUAUAUGUAUACGCUUUGGAGCAAUUUCAUUAUGCCAAGAAGAGAACUCUAACAACCAAGGAUGGAGGCAUGGCGGACAAAAAUCAGCAGUUUAUGUAUGAGAAAAUAAGACCAAAGUGAAGAUUAUGUGGCAGUGACAGCAAGUAAGGAAUACAUGCUGAGAUAUGAAUUGAGUAAUGUGUGCAUGAUGCAUAAUGAAGAGUAUGAGGAAAGCAGUCAUUAUAACUGCCUUUACUACUUGACUGAAAAUUACUUUCUGGAUGAAAUAUUUAAUGAUUGCCCUUCAGUCAGUGUAAGACACUCCAGCGCAUCUACUCAUCUGUUUCACCUGCAAUCCAUAUUUGGGAUCAUGGCAACUUUUGAGCUCUUUGUUUCCAAUGCUGAGGGAAGAUCAUCAUUUCUCAAAUCCCAAAGAUGUAAUAUAUGCAGGAAUGUUCAACAAUAGCAUUGUUUCUAGAGCUUGUCCAAGAGAAUAUUCAGUGCAUAAUAUAAAAGGAUGAAUACAUUUAAAAAAUGUAAUUGCUAAAAUAAACUUGGCAUUGUUAGAUUAA